rnacentral:rRNA from 1 species
CAGACAAGGAUUUAUGUGGUCUUCUCGCGCUACGGAAGCCUUUGCAGCUGGAAACAGUGUAUCAGACGACUCUAAACAACUUGGUAUUCAUGCAAGUCAGCGUCAGCUGGCGACACUUUCGAACUGACGGGGACACCCUAAAGUCCUUCACACCAAGCCGGCCGGGGAAACCCGCCGGUGGCCCAUGGGAAACUAUGGGGUAUGGUAACAGAGGAAGGAAUGAGCCGCCACGGCGGUGAAAUGGGCAAUCCGCAGCGAAGCUCCUAACGUCAUUGGAGGCGCCUGGCGCCACCAAACCACGGAGAACGUUCACAGACUAAGUGGAAGUGGGUGGGGAGCGAUCCCUGCUUAAGAUAUAGUCGGGCCCCUCUGGAAACAUUGGGGGUAGUGAGUGCUGGAUGGGGCGCGCCUCAGGGCGGGUCCCGGCCAGAUCCAAACCGUUCCGUAGGUGAACCUGCGGAAGGAUCAUUACCGUUGGAGGUCAACUCCAAUUGGGAUAGACACCCUUGCCUUUGAGUACCUUUUCGUUUCCUCGGCGGGCUCGCCCGCCGGUGGACACCUAAAAAACCCCUUGUAAUAGCAGUAUCUUCUGAAUAAAAAGCAAAUAGUCAAAACUUUCAACAACGGAUCUCUUGGUUCUGGCAUCGAUGAAGAACGCAGCGAAAUGCGAUAAGUAGUGUGAAUUGCAGAAUUCAGUGAAUCAUCGAAUCUUUGAACGCACAUUGCGCCCUUCGGUAUUCCGUUGGGCAUGCCUGUUCGAGCGUCAUUUGAAAAUUCAAGCUCAGCUUGGUGUUGGGUGCUUGUCCCCCCCUUCCGCGGGGGGACUCACCUCAAAUGCAUUGGCGGCCGGCAUGUUGGCUUCGAGCGCAGUAGAAACGCGCCCGGCGUCUGGACGUGCCCGGUCUUCCACGAAGCCCACUUUUAACGCUUGACCUCGGAUCAGGUAGGGAUACCCGCUGAACUUAAGCUAUA